rnacentral:rRNA from 1 species
AGGAUGAACGCUGGCGGCGUGCCUAACACAUGCAAGUCGAACGUCCUGUCUCGCAAGAGGCAGGGAGUGGCGGACGGGUGAGUACCACGUGGGUUAUCUACCGUGAGGUGAGGAAUACCGGCGAGAAAUCGCCGACAAGACCGCAUAGCCUCGGUGCAAGUCGAGGAAAGCUCUCUCGAGAGAGGGAGCGCCACACGAGGAGCCUGCGCCCGAUUAGCUAGCUGGUGGAGUAAUGGUUCACCAGGGCGACGAUCGGUAGCUGGUCUGAGAGGACGAUCAGCCACACUGGGAUUGAGAACGGCCCAGACUCCUACGGGGGGCAGCAGUGAGGAUUUUCGUCAAUGGGGGCAACCCUGAACCGAGCAACGCCGCGUGCAGGAAGAAGGUUUUCGGAUCGUAAACUGCUUUUCGUCGGGAAGAGAACGGACGGUACCCGAGGAAUCAGCCCGGCUAACUACGUGCCAGCAGCCGC